rnacentral:rRNA from 1 species
AUUGAACGCUGGCGGCAUGCUUUACACAUGCCAGUCGAACGGUAACAGGCCUUCGGGUGCUGACGAGUGGCGAACGGGUGAGUAAUGCAUCGGAACGUACCCAGAGGUGGGGGAUAACGCAGCGAAAGCUGUGCUAAUACCGCAUGUGAUCUGAGGAUGAAAGCGGGGGACCGAGCAGCAAUGUUUGGCCUCGCGCCUUUGGAGCGGCCGAUGUCGGAUUAGCUAGUUGGUGGGGUAAAGGCCUACCAAGGCGACGAUCCGUAGCUGGUCUGAGAGGACGGCAGCCCCCAUGGGACUGAGACACGGCCCAGGACCCUUAGGGAGGGAGCCGGGGGGAAUUUUUGACAAUGGGGGGCAACCUGAACCCAGAAUGCCGGGGGCGGGGAAAAAGCCCUCGGGGUUGAAACCGGGUUUGGCAGGAAAGAAACCGUUUCCGCCAAUACCGGGCGCUAAUGACGGUACCUGCAGAAUAAGCACCGGCUAACUACGUG